rnacentral:rRNA from 1 species
AGAGUUUGAUCCUGGCUCAGGACGAACGCUGGCGGCGUGCCUAACACAUGCAAGUCGAGCGAGGUCCAUCCAGUGGCAACACUGGGGACGACCUAGCGGCGAACGGGUGAGUAACACGUGAGGAACCUGCCCCGAAGACCGGGAUAACCCGAGGAAACUCGAGCUAAUACCGGAUACCCCCACGAGAUCGCAUGAUCUUGUGAGGAAAUGUCUUUUCGCUUCGGGAGGGCCUCGCGGCCUAUCAGCUUGUUGGCGGGGUAACGGCCCACCAAGGCAUCGACGGGUAGCUGGUCUGAGAGGACGAUCAGCCACACUGGGACUGAGACACGGCCCAGACUCCUACGGGAGGCAGCAGUGGGGAAUCUUGCGCAAUGGGCGAAAGCCUGACGCAGCAACGCCGCGUGCGGGAAGAAGGCCUUCGGGUUGUAAACCGCUUUCAGUAGGGACGAAAACAGACGGUACCUCCAGAAGAAGCCCCGGCCAACUACGUGCCAGCAGCCGCGGUAACACGUAGGGGGCGAGCGUUGUCCGGAUUUAUUGGGCGUAAAGAGCUCGUAGGUGGCUCGGUAAGUCGGGUGUGAAAUUUCGAGGCUCAACCUCGAGACGCCACCUGAUACUGCUGUGGCUAGAGUCCGGUAGGGGAGCGUGGAAUUCCUGGUGUAGCGGUGAAAUGCGCAGAUAUCAGGAGGAACACCAGCGGCGAAGGCGGCGCUCUGGGCCGGUACUGACACUGAGGAGCGAAAGCGUGGGGAUCAAACAGGAUUAGAUACCCUGGUAGUCCACGCU